rnacentral:rRNA from 1 species
AUUGAACGCUGGCGGCAUGCUUUACACAUGCAAGUCGAACGGUAACAGGGAGCUUGCUCCGCUGACGAGUGGCGAACGGGUGAGUAAUGCGUCGGAACGUGCCGUGUAAUGGGGGAUAACGUAGCGAAAGUUACGCUAAUACCGCAUACGCCCUGAGGGGGAAAGUGGGGGACCGCAAGGCCUCACGUUAUACGAGCGGCCGAUGUCGGAUUAGCUAGUUGGUGGGGUAAAGGCCUACCAAGGCGACGAUCCGUAGCGGGUCUGAGAGGAUGAUCCGCCACACUGGGACUGAGACACGGCCCAGACUCCUACGGGAGGCAGCAGUGGGGAAUUUUGGACAAUGGGGGCAACCCUGAUCCAGCCAUGCCGCGUGAGUGAAGAAGGCCUUCGGUUGGUUAAGACUCUUUCUAGGUGGAAAGGAAA